GGAAUUGUUCGCAAUGGGCGCAAGCCUGACGACGCAACGCCGCGUGGAGGAUGAAGAUUUUCGGAUCGUAAACUCCUGUCGAAUGGGACGAAUAGAUUGCGGGUGAACAGCCCGUGGUCCUGACGGUACCGUUAAAGGAAACCCCGGCUAACUCCGUGCCAGCAGCCGCGGUAAUACGGGGGGGGGUAAGCGUUGUUCGGAAUUACUGGGCGUAAAGCGUGCGCAGGCGGUUAUUUAAGCCAGACGUGAAAGCCCCGGGCUUAACCUGGGAAUGGCGUUUGGGACUGGAUAGCUAGAGUACGGCAGAGGGAGGUGGAAUUCCACGUGUAGCAGUGAAAUGCGUAGAGAUGUGGAGGAACACCGAUGGCGAAGGCAGCCUCCUGGGCCAGUACUGACGCUCAUGCACGAAAGCGUGGGGAGCAAAC
rnacentral:rRNA from 1 species